rfam:Fusarium fujikuroi IMI 58289 draft genome, chromosome FFTJ_chr07
UUCUCCCAUAUGAUGAAAUAUUUCGGAUGUAAAACAUUGUCAUUGUCGGAAAGCGCAAAAAAUAAUGUCGAGAUUUCCGUUGCCUUCCUUCUGAUUGGGAUU